rnacentral:rRNA from 1 species
AUUGAACGCUAGCGGGAUGCCUUACACAUGCAAGUGGAACGGAGUGGCGAACGGGUGAGUAAUGUAUCGGAACGUGCCCAGUAGCGGGGGAUAACUACGCGAAAGCGUAGCUAAUACCGCAUACUAUUGGAGCGGCCGAUAUCGGAUUCGCUAGUUGGUGGGUUAACGGCUCACCAAGGCGAAGAUCCGUAGCUGGUUUGAGAGGACGACCAGCCACACAUGGACUGAGACACGGCCCAGACUCCUACGGGAGGCGGCAGUGUGGAAUGUUGGAAAAUGUGGGAAACCCUGAUCCAGCCAUCCCUCGUGUGCGAUGCAGGCCUUCGGGUUGUAAACCACUUUUCGCAGGAACGCGGUAACUGCAGAAUAAGCACCGGCUAACUACGUGCCAGCAGCCGCGGUAAUAC